rnacentral:sRNA from 2 species
AUUCGAACCUGCAGCAGGUUCGGGUCGAACGCAGUGAGACAACGGAGCCGCUUGCGGCGACGGCCCGAAGGGCGAGGCGAAGCCGAGUCAUCCUGCACGACCCACCA